AGCACCGGUAGUGGCGGGCGCGCUCCACCUUUGAUUCGCUUGUCGUCGGGCUCUGCGGAGACGCGGUAAAUGGGAGCAAGUCCAGCUUUCGUCCUGAGAGGACUAGGAAGGCCUGCGCUAGGGCUCUGGACUACAUUUCCCUGAGACCCCGAAGGUCGACCCCACGUGCUGCGGGAUUUCAGUUGCUUUUUGGGGAUGCUGUACUUUUCCAAGAGAGGAAUCCAGGGAAACACAACUCAGGUUCUGAGGACUCUCUACUCCUAAGCCUGAUGUGAUUUCCCUAUUGGAGCAAGGCAAAGAACCAUGGAUGAUUUCGAGGGACAUUAUGGAAGGAUGGUGCCCAGAGAUUCAUGCUGAAAUAUUUACAGAUGAAAUAUGAUGCCUGGAAUUUGCUUCAGUAUAAUCUGUGGAGUUGGCUAUGAUGAGUGGAUGGAUAAGAUUGUCCUCAACUGGGUGCGGUGGCGCAAGCCUAUAAUGCCAGCGGCUCUGGAGACUGAGGCAGGAUGAUUGAGAGUUCAAAGCCAGCCUCAGCAAAAGCAAGGCACUAGACAACUCGGCUGAUAAACAACUGUGAACAGAUCCAGAAGAAAUGAUGACAGAGAGAAGACUCAGGCUGAUAACAUAGCAAUAA